GCCGCUAUAGCUUAGCUGGUAGAGCAAUGCUUUCGUAAAGCAGAGGUCGAAGGUUCGAAUCCUUUUAGCGGCA
rnacentral:tRNA from 1 species